GCCAUGGCCAGCCAAGUACAAACUGCUGCUACUAUUAAUCAGGUUAUUCAACAAACAUCCACCAUACUUGAAUCUCAAAGUAGAAUUAAUCAACACAUUUUAUCUGGGAUUCUAGCUGCUAAUCAAAGGAUAGAUCUGCUUCAAGCUCAAGUUGAGGAAUUGUCUGACCUAGUACAUUUGGGUUGUGUUGAUCAACGUGCACAUUUAUGUAUAACCUCUGUCAGAUUUAAUGAUUCCAGAAAUGCCUCCCGCAUCAUCGGGGAAUAUCUAUCCGGAACCUGGUCCAUGGAAGCAGAAAACUUGAUCCAGUCUCAACUAACUCAGAUUGCUGUUUUGAAUAGUACCCGUGUCGAACCAGUGACUUNGAAUUACGGCAGCCAUAGUGACAGCUGUGGCGGUAUCUGCUGCUGCAGCAGUUACAGCUGGAGUAGCCAUGGCCAGCCAGGUACAAACUGCUGCCACUAUUAAUCAGGUUAUUCAACAAACAUCCACCAUACUUGAAUCUCAAAGUAGAAUUAAUCAACAUAUUUUAUCUGGGAUUCUGGC
rnacentral:lncRNA from 1 species